GGUAAGAUGGUCGAGACUUAGGCGAUAGACUGUAAAUCUAUGUACGAGGAAUUUCCUCUUUUACCA
rnacentral:tRNA from 1 species